rnacentral:rRNA from 1 species
GAUUGCAGAAUUCAGUGAAUCAUCGAAUCUUUGAACGCACAUUGCGCCCCUUGGAUAUCCCGAGGGGCAUGCCUGUUCGAGCGUCAUU